UACGGGGGGAGCAAGCGUUGUUCGGAUUUACUGGGCGUAAAGGGCGCGUAGGCGGUCAGCACAAGUCACUUGUGAAAUCUCCGGGCUUAACUCGGAAAGGUCAACUGAUACUGUGCGACUAGAGUGCGGAAGGGGCAACUGGAAUUCUCGGUGUAGCGGUGAAAUGCGUAGAUAUGCGGAGGAACACCGAUGGCGAAGGCAAUCCCCUGGACCUGUACUGACGCUCAUGCACGAAAGCGUGGGGAGCAAACAGG
rnacentral:rRNA from 1 species